GACGAACGCUGGCGGCGUGCUUAACACAUGCAAGUCGAACGGAAAGGCCCUGCUUGUGUGGGGUUCUCGAGUGGCGAACGGGUGAGUAACACGUGAGUAACCUGCUCUUGUCUUUGGUAGAACUUCACGUAACUGGGGCUAAUACCGUAUAGGAGCUCCUGCUGCAUGGUGGGGGUUGGAAAGUUUCGGCGGUUGGGGAUGGAUUCGCGGCUUACGAGCUUGUUGGUGGGGGAGUGGCUUACCAAGGCUUUGACGGGUAGCCGGCAUGAGAGGGUGACCGGGCACCAUACGCCUAAGGGAGGGAGCAGAGUGGAAUAGGAGACAGCAGUCGGAAGUCUUAUCCAGUGAGACGGAGCCUGUUGAAAAAGUCUCGGGUUUGGAAAGACGGCCUUUGGGUAAUGAAAAGCAUCAGGCUAUGACGCCGCUGGAGUGACGGUAAUGGAUGAAGAAGCACCGGCUAACUACGUG
rnacentral:rRNA from 1 species